rnacentral:rRNA from 1 species
AAUAUUGGACAAUGGGGGAAACCCUGAUCCAGCGACGCCGCGUGAAGGAAGAAGGCCUUCGGGUUGUAAACUUCAGUCAGCAGGGAAUAAUAAAUGACGGUACCUGCAGGGGAAGCCACGGCUAACUACGUGCCAGCAGCCGCGGUAAUACGUAGGUGGCGAGCGUUAUCCGGAAUUACUGGGUGUAAAGGGUGAGUAGGCGGGUCGGCAAGUCGGGAGUGAAAUCUGCGGGCUCAACCCGCAACGUGCUAACGAAACUGUCGAUCUUGAGUACGGAAGAGGUAAAUGGAAUUCCCGGUGUAGCGGUGAAAUGCGUAGAUAUCGGGAGGAACAUCAGUGGCGAAGGCGAUUUACUGGGCCGUUACUGACGCUGAUACACGAAAGCGUGGGGAGCAAAC